GAUGAACGCUGGCGGCGUGCUUAACACAUGCGAGUCGAACGAUGAAGCCCAGCUUGCUGGGUGGAUUAGUGGCGAACGGGUGAGUAACACGUGAGUAACCUGCCCUUGACUCUGGGAUAAGCGCUGGAAACGGCGUCUAGUACCGGAUACGAGCUUCCACCGCAUGGUGAGUUGCUGGAAAGAAUUUCGGUCAAGGAUGGACUCGCGGCCUAUCAGGUAGUUGGUGAGGUAACGGCUCACCAAGCCGACGACGGGUAGCCGGCCUGAGAGGGUGACCGGCCACACUGGGACUGAGACACGGCCCAGACUCCUACGGGAGGCAGCAGUGGGGAAUAUUGCACAAUGGGCGCAAGCCUGAUGCAGCAACGCCGCGUGAGGGACGAAGGCCUUCGGGUCGUAAACCUCUUUUAGCAGGGAAGAAGCGAAAGUGACGGUACCUGCAGAAAAAGCACCGGCUAACUACGUG
rnacentral:rRNA from 1 species